rnacentral:lncRNA from 1 species
UUGUUCUUUACUUGUCCUCAAGUGACUUUGCAAGAACUCAUAAGGGAAACAGGUUUGAAGGUGGGAACUCAUAUCUAAAAGUAACACUCCCUAGUACUCAACUUAACAUCCUAAAGAAACAUAGCAAAUAGCAUGAGCAACUCUCUUAUUAUACUCUAGCUUCUCUAGGCCUAUCAAUAUUCCAUGUGCCUCUACACAAGUUGCAAUACUCAUCAACCAACAAGUUCUUUAAACCAGCUCUCACAUUGAUUCACACACACACAUACACGGUGAAUUCUCACAAAUGGGCACAUGAUCUCAAUCAUUUGGCUAGGUAAGGAUGGUCUAAUAUGAAUGAAGAGAGAAAGGUUUAAAUGUCAUCAUUUCAAGGUGGUUAUCACUCAAAAACAAGGAGCUUGAUCAUUAUGCAAAAUUUAUCUAAGAUUAUGAGCAACUCAUGCAUACAUAGAUUCAUUCUCAUCAUACUGCCCCUUUUGUUAUAAUCACAAGUUCUACCCCUUUUUAUCAUCAUCUCAAAAUCAAAGCAAACCCCUCACAUCACUCA